CGUACGUGGGGGCAGGGGGCGCGGGAAGACGAAGGGGGGGGGGGGUGGUCGGAAUCACUUGGCUUAAAGCGUGCGUAGGCGGAUAAGAAAGUCAGGAGUGAAAUCCCGGGGCUUAACCCCGGAACUGCUCUUGAAACUCCCUAUCUAGAAUCCGACAGAGGUUAACAGAAUUCCGAGUGUAGAGGUGAAAUUCGCAGAUAUUCGGAGGAAUACCAGUGGCGAAGGCGGUUAACUGGGUCGGUAUUGACGCUGAGGUACGAAAAGCGUGGGGAGCAAACAGGAUUAGAUACCCUAGUAGUC
rnacentral:rRNA from 1 species